rnacentral:lncRNA from 10 species
GCGUCCUCAGCGCGACCCUGGAGCUGGGGCUUGUACUUAAAUACUUCCUGCGAAGUUUUGACUGAGACGCUGCAACAAUUCCCGAGCUGUUUCAUCGUGGCACCUUCCUGGUGGCAGGUGGAUUAGCACAUUGUCUGCAACCCAGGAGGACUUGGAGGAAAGUCCCAGCUCUGCUGAUUCUAGCUGAGUAACCUUGGCAAAGGUCACCUCACUUCUCUCUGAGUCUUAUUUUCUCAUCUGUAAAAUGAGGAGGAGGAGGAGGAUCAUCCAAACAUCACGGGACUUCGUUAAAUCAGUGCUUCGGGGCACUUAGCACAGCGCCUGGCGCAAGAACUACCGGUCGCCCAGCUCUGUGUAUGUGGAGAGACGGCAGGAAGGACCAGAGAGUGAGGAUGUGAGGAACUCUAGCCGUCCUGAAUCUACCACUGUUCAGUAAUUUACAGUUCAAACCGGAUUGUGCCAGCUCACAUAUAUGGGACACUUACCCAACAUGCUAAGCAUCUUCCACACGUUAUCUAAUCAACCCUUACAACUCUAAGAGACAGAUACCAGUAGGAUCUCCAUCCUACAGCUAAAGA